rnacentral:tRNA from 1 species
GGCGGAUGUGGCCAAGUGGAUCAAGGCAGUGGAUUUGUGAACCC